UAGAGUUUGAUCCUGGCUCAGAUUGAACGCUGGCGGCAGGCCUAACACAUGCAAGUCGAACGGUAGCACAGAGAGCUUGCUCUCGGGUGACGAGUGGCGGACGGGUGAGUAAUGUCUGGGAAACUGCCUGAUGGAGGGGGAUAACUACUGGAAACGGUAGCUAAUACCGCAUAAUGUCGCAAGACCAAAGAGGGGGACCUUCGGGCCUCUUGCCAUCGGAUGUGCCCAGAUGGGAUUAGCUGGCUGGUGAGGUAAUGGCUCACCAGGGCGACGAUCCCUAGCUGGUCUGAGAGGAUGACCAGCUACACUGGAACUGAGACACGGUCCAGACUCCUACGGGAGGCAGCAGUGGGGGAAUAUUGCACAAUGGGCGCAAGCCUGAUGCAGCCAUGCCCGCGUGUAUGAAGAAGGCCUUUCGGGUUGUAAAGUACUUUCAGCGAGGAGGAAGGCGGUAAGGUUAAUAACCUUUACCGAUUGACGUUACUCUGCAGAAGAAGCAUCUGGCUAACUCUCGUGUCUAGCAGUCUGCGGUAAUACGGAGGGUGCAAGCGUUAAUCGGGAAUUACUGGGGCGUAAAGCGCACGCAGGCGGUCUGUCAAGUCGGAUGUGAAAUCCCCGGGCUCAACCUGGGAACUGCAUUCGAAACUGGCACGCUGGAGUCUUGUAGAGGGGGGUAGAAUUUCCAGUGUAGCGCGAAUGCGUAGAGAUCUG
rnacentral:rRNA from 1 species